GGAAARUGAACCAAAUGGGAUUCCUUAAGURAUUGCGAAUGAACAAGGAAAUGCUCAGCUUGAAAAAUGGGGCCUUUGGCUUUGAAUUGUAAUUUUGAAAUGUAUUGCCAAUGGAGGCGCAGGUGCAAGCCUAUUGAAAGAAAGCGUCAAUGAGGGUGAAAUUCCUUUUUGUCAUUUGCAGUCCUCCGUGCACGGUAUAUAUUUGACGAGUCACACUCCUCGGCAUUGGAAUGCAAAGUGGGUGGUAAAUUCCAUGUAAAGGUAAAUAUAUUAUUGAGACUGAUAGCAAACAAGUACCAUGAGGGAAAUAUGAAAAGGACUUUGAAAAGGGAAUUAAAAGAGUCUGCAUUUGCUGAACAGAAAGCAAACAGAAUUGAUGUGCUUGGUGAGAUUGUUGUGCCCACUCUGUCAUUUAUGUCGGAUGUGGGUGCGAUGGUUCUUACCUUGAAUGUCAGCUUCUAUUUCUGCAAAUCAUUACCCUUGCACAUGAAUGGUAAUUUGCCUGCGGGUAUUGGAAUGUGUGUGUUUGCAAUGAUUUGUGAUUUGAUGCAUGUGGUUGGUGGACUUUGUAUGUGCUGUUUUGCCAACGGGGAAGGGACUCUUCCUUGAGCACUGCAAGCCCUUGCACAUUAAUGCUGGCAAAAUGUUUCUGCUUGACCCG
rnacentral:rRNA from 1 species